AGUGAACGCUGGCGGUAGGCCUAACACAUGCAAGUCGAACGGCAGCACAGUAAGAGCUUGCUCUUACGGGUGGCGAGUGGCGGACGGGUGAGGAAUACAUCGGAAUCUACUUUUUCGUGGGGGAUAGCGUAGGGAAACUUACGCUAAUACCGCAUACGACCUACGGGUGAAAGCAGGGGAUCUUCGGACCUUGCGCGAUUGAAUGAGCCGAUGUCGGAUUAGCUAGUUGGCGGGGUAAAGGCCCACCAAGGCGACGAUCCGUAGCUGGUCUGAGAGGAUGAUCAGCCACACUGGAACUGAGACACGGUCCAGACUCCUACGGGAGGCAGCAGUGGGGAAUAUUGGACAAUGGGCGCAAGCCUGAUCCAGCCAUACCGCGUGGGUGAAGAAGGCCUUCGCGUUGUAAAGCCCUUUUGUUGGGAAAGAAAAGCAGCAGGUUAAUACCCCGCUGUUCUGACGGUACCCAAAGAAUAAGCACCGGCUAACUUCGUG
rnacentral:rRNA from 1 species